rnacentral:rRNA from 1 species
GUGGGGAAUUUUGGACAAUGGGCGCAAGCCUGAUCCAGCAAUGCCGCGUGCAGGAAGAAGGCCUUCGGGUUGUAAACUGCUUUUGUACGGAACGAAACGGUCCUGGCUAAUAUCCGGGGCUAAUGACGGUACCGUAAGAAUAAGCACCGGCUAACUACGUGCCAGCAGCCGCGGUAAUACGUAGGGUGCGAGCGUUAAUCGGAAUUACUGGGCGUAAAGCGUGCGCAGGCGGUGCUGUAAGACAGGCGUGAAAUCCCCGGGCUCAACCUGGGAAUUGCGCUAGUGACUGCAGUGCUGGAGUGCGGCAGAGGGGGAUGGAAUUCCGCGUGUAGCAGUGAAAUGCGUAGAUAUGCGGAGGAACACCGAUGGCGAAGGCAAUCCCCUGGGCCUGCACUGACGCUCAUGCACGAAAGCGUGGGGAGCAAACAGGAUUAGAAACCCGAGUAGUCC